AACGCUAGCUACAGGCUUAACACAUGCAAGUCGAGGGGCAGCANGGAUUUAGCUUGCUAAAUCCGCUGGCGACCGGCGCACGGGUGCGUAACGCGUAUCCAACUUUCCCGUUACUCAGGGAUAGCCUUCCGAAAGGGAGAUUAAUACCUGAUGGUGUUUGAAGUUCGCAUGUUCUUCAAACUAAAGAUUUAUCGGUAACGGAUAGGGAUGCGUGACAUUAGGAUAGUAGGCGGGGUAACGGCCCACCUAUUCUACGAUGUCUAGGGGUUCUGAGAGGAAGGUCCCCCACACUGGAACUGAGACACGGGUCCAGACUCCUACGGGAGGCAGCAGUGAGGAAUAUUGGUCAAUGGUCGGAAGACUGAACCCAGCCAAGUAGCGUGAAGGAUGAAGGUUCUAUGGAUUGUAAACUUCUUUUAUACGGGAAUAAAGCCCACUACGUGUAGUGGUUUGUAUGUACCGUAUGAAUAAGCAUCGGCUAACUCCGUGCCAGCAGCCGCGGUAAUACGGAGGAUGCGAGCGUUAUCCGGAUUUAUUGGGUUUAAAGGGAGCGUAGACGGGAUGUUAAGUCAGCUGUGAAAGUUUGGGGCUCAACCUUAAAAUUGCAGUUGAUACUGGCGUCCUUGAGUGCGGUUGAGGUAUGUGGAAUUCGUGGUGUAGCGGUGAAAUGCUUAGAUAUCACGAAGAACUCCGAUUG
rnacentral:rRNA from 1 species